rnacentral:tRNA from 1 species
CGCGGAGUAGAGCAGUUGGUAGCUCGUCGGGCUCAUAACCCGGAGGUCGUUGGUUCGAGUCCAGCCUCCGCUA